rnacentral:tRNA from 1 species
GGAGGUAUGGCUCAGUGGGGGAGUGCAGGCCUGGCGUGCACGAGGUCCCGGGUCCCAUCCCUGGCACCUCCG